rnacentral:rRNA from 1 species
CGGCGAGUUACGAUUUGUUGCAAGGUUAAGCGGAAAAAGCGGAGCCGUAGCGAAAGCGAGUCUGAAUAGGGCGCAUAAGUAACAGGUCGUAGACCCGAAACCAGGUGAUCUACCCAUGUCCAGGAUGAAGGUAAGGUAAUACUUACUGGAGGUCCGAACCCACGCACGUUGAAAAGUGCGGGGAUGAGGUGUGGGUAGCGGAGAAAUUCCAAUCGAACUUGGAGAUAGCUGGUUCUCUCCGAAAUAGCUUUAGGGCUAGCCUCGAGGUAAAGAGUCAUGGAGGUAGAGCACUGUUUGGACUAGGGGCCCUUCUCGGGUUACCGAAUUCAGAUAAACUCCGAAUGCCAUGUACUUAUACUCGGGAGUCAGACUGCGAGUGAUAAGAUCCGUAGUCGAAAGGGAAACAGCCCAGACCACCAGUUAAGGUCCCCAAAUAUAUGUUAAGUGGAAAAGGAUGUGGGGUUGCUUAGACAACCAGGAUGUUGGCUUAGAAGCAGCCACCAUUGAAAGAGUGCGUAAUAGCUCACUGGUCGAGUGACCCCGCGCCGAAAAUGUACCGGGGCUAAACAUAUUACCGAAACUGUGGAUGAACCUCUUUAGAGGUUCGUGGUAGGAGAGCGUUCUAAGGGCGGUGAAGUCAGACCGGAAGGACUGGUGGAGCGCUUAGAAGUGAGAAUGCCGGUAUGAGUAGCGAAAGAAGGGUGAGAAUCCCUUCCACCGAAUAUCUAAGGUUUCCUGAGGAAGGCUCGUCCGCUCAGGGUUAGUCGGGACCUAAGCCGAGGCCGAUAGGCGUAGGCGAUGGACAACAGGUAGAGAUUCCUGUACCAGUGCUAAUUGUUUAACCGAUGGGGUGACACAGAAGGAUAGGGAAUCGCACGAAUGGAAAUGUGCGUCCAAGCAGUGAGUGUGAGAAGUAGGCAAAUCCGCUUCUCGCGAAGCAUGAGCUGUGAUGGGGAAGGAAAUUAAGUACGGAAGUUCCUGAUUUCACGCUGUCAAGAAAAGCCUCUAGGAAGAGUAGUACUGCCCGUACCGCAAACCGACACAGGUAGAUGAGGAGAGAAUCCUAAGGUGAGCGAGAGAACUCUCGUUAAGGAACUCGGCAAAAUGACCCCGUAACUUCGGGAGAAGGGGUGCUCUAUUAGGGUGCAAGCCCGAGAGAGCCGCAGUGAAUAGGCCCAGGCGACUGUUUAGCAAAAACACAGGUCUCUGCAAAACCGUAAGGUGACGUAUAGGGGCUGACGCCUGCCCGGUGCUGGAAGGUUAAGAGGAGUGCUUAGCUUCGGCGAAGGUACGAAUUGAAGCCCCAGUAAACGGCGGCCGUAACUAUAACGGUCCUAAGGUAGCGAAAUUCCUUGUCGGGUAAGUUCCGACCCGCACGAAAGGCGCAACGAUCUGGGCACUGUCUCAACGAGAGACUCGGUGAAAUUAUAGUACCUGUGAAGAUGCAGGUUACCCGCGACAGGACGGAAAGACCCCGUGGAGCUUUACUGCAACCUGAUAUGGAAUGUUUGUACCGCUUGUACAGGAUAGGUAGGAGCCGAAGAGACGUGUGCGCUAGCAUACGAGGAGGCAAUGGUGGGAUACUACCCUGGCUGUAUGACCAUUCUAACCCGCCACGCUUAGCGCGUGGGGAGACAGUGUCAGGUGGGCAGUUUGACUGGGGCGGUCGCCUCCUAAAGAGUAACGGAGGCGCCCAAAGGUUCCCUCAGAAUGGAUGGAAAUCAUUCGCAGAGUGUAAAGGCACAAGGGAGCUUGACUGCGAGACUGACAAGUCGAGCAGGGACGAAAGUCGGGCUUAGUGAUCCGGUGGUUCCGCAUGGAAGGGCCAUCGCUCAACGGAUAAAAGCUACCCCGGGGAUAACAGGCUUAUCUCCCCCAAGAGUCCACAUCGACGGGGAGGUUUGGCACCUCGAUGUCGGCUCGUCGCAUCCUGGGGCUGUAGUCGGUCCCAAGGGUUGGGCUGUUCGCCCAUUAAAGCGGCACGCGAGCUGGGUUCAGAACGUCGUGAGACAGUUCGGUCCCUAUCCGUCGCGGGCGCAGGAAAUUUGAGAGGAGCUGUCCUUAGUACGAGAGGACCGGGAUGGACACACCGCUGGUGUACCAGUUGUUCCGCCAGGAGCAUCGCUGGGUAGCUAUGUGUGGCAGGGAUAAACGCUGAAAGCAUCUAAGCGUGAAGCCCCCCUCAAGAUGAGAUUUCCCAUUUCUUCGGAAAGUAAGAUCCCUGAAAGAUGAUCAGGUAGAUAGGUUUGGAGUGGAAGUGUAGCGAUACAUGGAGCGGACAAAUACUAAUCGAUCGAGGACUUAACCAAAA